rnacentral:rRNA from 1 species
AUUGAACGCUGGCGGCAUGCUUUACACAUGCAAGUCGAACGGUAACAGGGAGCUUGCUCCGCUGACGAGUGGCGAACGGGUGAGUAAUAUAUCGGAACGUACCCAAGAGUGGGGGAUAACGUAGCGAAAGUUACGCUAAUACCGCAUACGAUCUAUGGAUGAAAGCAGGGGACCUUCGGGCCUUGUGCUCCUGGAGCGGCCGAUAUCUGAUUAGCUAGUUGGUGAGGUAAAGGCUCACCAAGGCGACGAUCAGUAGCUGGUCUGAGAGGACGACCAGCCACACUGGAACUGAGACACGGUCCAGACUCCUACGGGAGGCAGCAGUGGGGAAUUUUGGACAAUGGGCGCAAUCCUGAUCCAGCAAUGCCGCGUGAGUGAAGAAGGCCUUCGGGUUGUAAAGCUCUUUUUUCAGGGAAGAAACGGCUGUGGCUAAUAUCCACGGCUAAUGACGGUACCUGAAGAAUAAGCACCGGCUAACUACGUG